AAAAACCAGAAACAGGGCAGGAAGAAACCCAGAAAAAACCAGAAAAACGCAAGCAAAAAAAUCCAGAAAAGAAGAAGAAAAACAACCCAAAAACAGAGAACUCACAGCACAGAAACAGAGCAGAUAAAACCCAAAAAAAUAUACAGAGAAGGGGGAGAAAGGCAGGGUAGAGUCACAGAUCAGUCAUGGCCUUCGUCCCUGCAGAAAAAGAACAACCAAGAACCAAGGACUAUUGACAACAGGCAUCACCAUUGUCUGGUUUCCUUCAUCUUAAAACAGAGGAGACAAAACGCAAGCAAAGAAAAACAGCAGAAGGAAAGAACACAAGCAGAGGAAACGAGAUCGCUGCUACUGCCUUCAGUGUUUCCAGAACCAGGAGAGAAAGCAAAGGAAAACGAGAAUCAAAGGCAUAGUAAAGCAGAGGAGAAGAGAACAGACGACCACCGGCAUCGCAGCCUUCUUCAUCAUCUCCAGCAGCAGGUAUCGCCACACCUUUUUUGCUUCUUCAUUUUAAA
rnacentral:lncRNA from 1 species